GAUAAUCCUCUCUUUCAUAAUUAUCACUCAUAAUCUUUCAUUCUUCUUUAUAAAAUCAAUACUACCUUGAAUUAUAACUCACAUAUUUGUAAUCCUAAAACUGGUUCUUCUCACGUUCUCAUUCAACAUAUAGUUCCAUCUCUCAUACAAUCAAUUUCUAAAAUUUCAUAUUGUUAUCAUUUCCUCAGCAGCGAUGCCAAAAUAUUAUUCUCAUUGUGUUCAAGCUUCAAUAUACUAAAGCAAUUGAACUAAUAGAGGUGGAUUCAAACACGAGAAAAGACUAGUUAUAUGAAUUGGAUCUGCUAGUGUCACAAUUGACUGUACUCUAGCUAACUGAAAUCAAUUAUCAAACUACAAAAUACUAGGGCUUACUACUUCCAUCUUAAUUCAACACAUAAUCCAUUUUACGACUAUCAAUUCAACAAUACUUCCAUAUUCUUAUUAGUUCAUCUUCCACUUACUCUCUUUGUGAUUUAUAUAUAUAUAAUUACUAAUCUCCAGCUUACUAUUAUAUUCAAUUUCUCAAUUUAUGACAUAGAAUUCAAUAUCUUCACUAAAUACAACACAAUUCAAUAACCUCAAUUCUCAAGGUCACAGAUUUUUUUUAAAAUGGUCUGUCCAAAGUCAUAUUCUUCAAUAUUCUAAUCAUAAUUUCAACAAUACUUCUCUCAAUCACAAUUCGUCAUAAGCAAAUAAUAAAAGCAAAGAAAACAAAGAAGUAGCACCAAGCUUCCCCUGGCUUACGACUCUCACAGUUUGGCCCCGAUCUCCCACUUUUCAACUUCUUUAUCCUAUCAAAAGAUGGAUCGUCGGCUAGCACAUUCCAAAGGUUAUGAU
rnacentral:lncRNA from 1 species